UCCAACUUAUCUAGAAUUAAGUGCCUGAUAAACAACGAUAUUUCGGUUACGUCAAGCAAUAUUUAAUUAUAGUGCACCUUUGAUUACAAACAUUCCAGAGGGGCAAUUUCGUACGAAAACCUCGAUAAGGACGACCAGAACGUACGUGCCUCCUUCAGACAGGCGUUUGGAUUUUUUUAACGCACGUGCCCGAACACUUAUAACAUUUUACAAGCUCGUUAUUCGUAAGCAACGUGAUUUGCAAGUCAAACGAGGCGCAUUCGAUUGGUGGAGUUUUCAUUGCCUCGUUUAAUCGGCCAUCUUGGAAAAUUUAGUUCACUUUUGUGAAGAAAAUAUUAUAAUAAAUAUAAUUUCUUAAAUAAAACUUGCAUAACCAUAUUAACUAAUCACAUUAUAAGAAACAGGAAAGACAAUUUUCGAUGUGCAUAUUGCUAAUCUUUUUUUAUGUGAACAGUGAAAAUCGAAUGUUACAAAAUUUGUUUGUUGAUUCAUCAUACGCGCUAAAUCAUCGGUGAAAGAUGUAUGUUAUUUGGGAUAGGUUAAAAUUUAUAUGUUUAUUAUUUCUUGAAGAAAUAACAUGAGACGGAUACUCUUCUAAUCGCAGAAGAUUAGUUGCCUUGUUUUCAACGAUGGAUUAACCUGCGACGAAACUAUUUCAAGCGGAUAUUAUUGUUUUCAUUGUACCGUGCAAGUGAUCGCAUUUAAGUUAUUGGAAACGCCGCCAAAACAAGGAGGGCGCUAAAGUAUUCUUAGCCAAGUAUAUAAUCCUCUGAAAUUCUUAUCGCGCUUUUUACUUUCAUUAUAAAAAUGGUAAACAUUGUCAUAUUUGAAUGUCAAUAGAAGUCAUCGGUUUUCAAAAGGUACAAAUUCUACAAUAGAAUUCCUCUAUACAGAACGGUUAUUAUUUUCCUUGUUCUACAUACAUACGUAUAUUUUACUGAUUGUGGCAUCAUUUGCAAUUCAGCAUAAGGAAACGUCAGAAAGGAAAUAAGAAUAUGCAGGAUUACAGCAAGGAUCAAAACACCUGUUACUCUAAUGUCUUGAGGAUGAAAGAUGAAAAUUGGCACGAACUUCGAACCUGAAACGGGAACUUCGUGGAAGAAUGAAACCUCUGGAAGGAGAGCGACGCUAAUGGCAAUAGGGUUAAACCAAGAUGGCGUGCAAUCUUAAGUUCUCUUCAGCUACAUUUAAACAUGGUUUAAGCCGUACUUUUAAACAGUUAUAUAAAUCCAUCAAUGAAAACUGAUUUUAAUUACAACUUGAUAUCCAGGCUUUACUGUUAGCUAUAAUCAAGUCGAAAAUACUUCAAUAUUUUUACAAAUCCCUUGGUAUUUUAAUAUUAUGAUAAUUUACCAAAGUUGAAAACGCUUCUUUAUAAGCAUUUCUUGAUAUCUUCAUAUUAAUUAAUUCUAUUUUGAAAUCUGCAAUAUUAACCUCCAAUUUGAAAGUCCUCCUGUAUGCUAUAUGUAUAUUUCGACUAACAAAUCUAAAGCUAUAACACGAAAAAAUCCAAUACUUAGGUUUGCGAUAAAAGGUUAUGUACCAUAACCUCUAAUUCAAAAGAUCGUUAGUAUGUCUUACGCUAAACACAGUUCAAGAAUCCGGUUCGUACCGUUUCACACGUCGCACAUGUUUUGCCCGAUCGCACCGGUGUUAAUGAAAAAUAACAAAUCGGUCGCGGAGAGGAACCGGUUUAUGUCGUUGCGUCACCGAACAUCGAGUAUUCGUGUCUUUCGAUCCAACAGCGAUUUUCAUUCCAGACAAUCGCAACAGUAAUUAUUACACGUACCGAUGUACUCGCACUCGCAUCGACUCCAAGGUCUGUCCCACCCCACCGCCGUUUCGUCACAGACAUUUUUCACGGUCAAAUGGUGGGGAGCUUGUUAAACGUCAAUUUAACGGAUCACAUGAGCCGUUUCAGAGUUACCAAUCGCUUUCCAAUUAAAUCAGCUCCUUUAGGUCAUUAUUUGAAACUGAGAAACGGUUGGUAGUUGAGCGUAAGGAGGAUUCGAGAAAACGGGACUUUAAAUUUAUGCGCGGGUAGAUACAUACGUGUAGGGAAUAUAUGAAACGUUGAUCUUGUCAUAGUUAAGUCAUACCGUUCUUUUUUUUUUUUUCUAAUAAAAGAGAGAAAGAAGCGAUGCAUGAUAUUCUGAAUUUUAGUAACUGGUAUUCUAUCAAAUCUUAUUAGAUCUCUUGAUUAAUAAAUUUCGAUUUAGCCUUGUUCUAGAUUGAUAUAGAUAUAUAUAGAUAUUGAUAUAGAUAUACUGAUCUAAUGGAUACGCGCUUUCAGCCUGAUUAAUAAAUUUAAAUCGUACAAAUGUCUUAUUUAAUAGAACCGGUAUAAAUGGAAUGAAAUGAAAAGCGAGUUUUGGUUGUGAUAGGUAGUUGGUCUUGUUUUACAAUACAUCUAUUAGAAACACGGCUUUAGCUAUAAUACCAUUCUCGAAUUGCACUGGAACUUCCGACUAAUAAAUAUGAAGCAUAUAAAUGUAUUAUUCGAAAGGAGUGAUAUAAGUAGAAUGGAAUAAAAGUGGAGAUAAGUGUGGCUG